GGAUGUGAGGGCGAUCUGGCUGCGACAUCUGUCACCCCACUGAUUGCCAGGGUUGAUUCGGCUGCUCUGGCUGGCUAGGCAGGUAUCCCCUUCCUAGGAUAUCCCCUUCCCAUGUGCGUCCCUCCCAAAGCUGUGCACUCGGUCGAAGAGGAAAACCUUCCCCGAUAGAGGAGGACCGGUCUUCGGUCAAGGAUAUCUGAGUAGCUGUGCUUCCCUGCUAGAACCUCCAAAGAAUCUCUCAAUUAGGUAUGAUAAUAACAGCUUCUGCCAUCAUAGGU
rnacentral:sRNA from 1 species